GAUGAACGCUAGCGACAGGCCUAACACAUGCAAGUCGAGGGGCAGCACGGUGUAGCAAUACACGGGUGGCGACCGGCGCACGGGUGAGUAACGCGUAUGCAACCUGCCUACUACAAGGGGAUAACCCGUUGAAAGACGGACUAAUACCCUAUAACACAGGGAAUCCGCAUGGAUAUAUUUGUUAAAGAUUUAUCGGUAGUAGAUGGGCAUGCGUUCCAUUAGCUUGUUGGUGAGGUAACGGCUCACCAAGGCAACGAUGGAUAGGGGAACUGAGAGGUUGAUCCCCCACACUGGAACUGAGACACGGUCCAGACUCCUACGGGAGGCAGCAGUGAGGAAUAUUGGUCAAUGGACGAGAGUCUGAACCAGCCAAGUCGCGUGAAGGAAGACGGCCCUACGGGUUGUAAACUUCUUUUGUAAGGGAAUAAAUAGUCUUACGCGCUAAGACGUUGCAGGUACCUUACGAAUAAGGAUCGGCUAACUCCGUGCCAGCAGCCGCGGUAAACUA
rnacentral:rRNA from 1 species